AAAGCUUGAUCCAGCAAUUUCGCAUGUAUGAAGAAGACCACUAAACGUUGUAAAGUACUAAGCUCGGGGAUAAUAAUGACGGUACCCGAGUAAAAAGCCCUGACUAACUUCGUGCCAGCAGUCGCGGUAAAACGGAGAGGGCAAGUGUUAUUCGUAUUGACUGGGUGUAAAGGGUACGUAGGCGGUUAUUUAAGUUAUAAAAAAAAGCUAUAUCUUUUUAUAAUACUAUAUGACUAGAGUUAAAAAGGGGAUGGCGGUACCUCCAGUUUAGAAAUGACAUUCGUUUGAGAUUGGGGGGACCAACAAUAGGCGACGGCUGCUUUCCAUUUUUAUACUGACGCUGAGGUACGAAAGCACGGGGAGCGAACAGGAUUAGAGACCCUGGUAGUCCAUGCCCUGACCUAUGAAUAUUAAUCGUCCAUUUAGAUAGUGGAUGACUAAGCUAACGCGAAAAUAUUCCACCUGAGGACUACGGCCGCAAGGUUAAAACUCAAAGAAAUUGGCGGAAGAUCGUUUAAGCGGUGGAGUAUGUGGUUUAAUUCGAUAAUACGCGAAAAACCUUACCAAUCUUUGUGCACAUUUUCGGUUAUACAAAACUCGUAGUCUGGAUUGAGGUGGUCAAUUUGGACUAAUUAUGUGCCAGGCGUUGCAUAGCUGUCGUAAGCUCGUGUCUUAGGAUGUGUGGUUAACUCCAUGAACGGGCGCAACCCUUGUUCCUAAUUAGAUUAGGAAUGAAAACAGUGAAAACUGCUUUUGAGGAUGAGGAGUAUGUCAAGUCAAUAUGACCUUUAUAGAUUGGGCUACACACGUACUACAACGGUAGCUACAAUGAGAAACAAUGCCGUGAGGCGGAGUAAAUCUCUAAAAUCUACCCUAGUUCGGAUUAUUUUUUGAAAUAAAAAUAUGAAGCCGGAAUCGCUAGUAAUCGCAAAAAAGAAUGUUGCGGUGAAUAUUAAGACCGAUCUUAGUACACACCGCCCGUCACGCCAUGGAAGCUUGUUUGGUUUGAAGAUAUUAAGUCACAUGUUUCGAAGUGAUUAUUCCUUAAUAAGUUCAUGUUAUGUGUGUUACUGGUAUCGACAAUUAGAUAGGUGACUGGGGUGAAGUC
rnacentral:rRNA from 1 species